GCCUUCUUAGCUCAGCUGGCAGAGCGUAUCCCUCGUAUGCGGCCGCUUGGCUACUGCAAGGAUAAGGUCGUCGGUCCGAUUCCGGCAGAAGGCA